GACGAACGCUGGCGGCGUGCUUAACACAUGCAAGUCGAGCGGAAAGGCCACUUCGGUGGUACUCGAGCGGCGAACGGGUGAGUAACACGUGAGUAAUCUGCCCCUCACUUUGGGAUAGCCACCGGAAACGGUGAUUAAUACCGGAUAUGACCAUAUGUCGCAUGGCGUGUGGUGGAAAGUUUUUCGGUGAGGGAUGUGCUCGCGGCCUAUCAGCUUGAUGGUGAGGUAAUGGCUCACCAUGGCUUCGACGGGUAGCCGGCCUGAGAGGGUGACCGGUCACACUGGGACUGAGACACGGCCCAGACUCCUACGGGAGGCAGCAGUGGGGAAUAUUGGACAAUGGGCGGAAGCCUGAUCCAGCAACGCCGCGUGAGGAAUGACGGCCUUCGGGUUGUAAACCUCUUUCAGUACCGACGAAGCGCAAGUGACGGUAGGUACAGAAGAAGCACCGGCCAACUACGUG
rnacentral:rRNA from 1 species